rnacentral:lncRNA from 1 species
UACAUCCACCCAGUAGUCUGGUCCAUACUCUAAACGUUUGCCAGUGCUUCAUCAGAGUACAUCUAAACAACAGUUACUUUUUUACAAACGAUCUAACAAUGUGUAUCAAAGUCUACGUUAAUACAUUCAAAUGCAAAUGAUUGGGAGAAUUUUUCUUCGACCUUCUAUCAACCGAGACGAUUACGCUAAGUCAUCGUGAUCAUUAUUACGAACUCGAACAGAAAUAGUUAUCGAUCGUUUUACAAAAAAAAAAAAAGAAAUAAAAAAAGAUCCUUACCCAACGGAUUUAAUUUUCUUCCGUGAUUCCGUGACGUAUCGUCUCGCCACAAA